rnacentral:rRNA from 1 species
CAGCAGCCGCGGUAAUACGGAGGGAGCUAGCGUUGUUCGGAGUUACUGGGCGUAAAGCGCGCGUAGGCGGUUACUCAAGUCAGAGGUGAAAGCCCGGGGCUCAACCCCGGAACUGCCUUUGAAACUAGGUGACUAGAAUCUUGGAGAGGUCAGUGGAAUUCCGAGUGUAGAGGUGAAAUUCGUAGAUAUUCGGAAGAACACCAGUGGCGAAGGCGACUGACUGGACAAGUAUUGACGCUGAGGUGCGAAAGCGUGGGGAGCAAACAGGAUUAGAUACCCCCGUAGUCCCUGUCUCUUAUAC